rnacentral:lncRNA from 1 species
UGGGCCCGUAAAAUGGGCCCUUCAUUAUCUAGUUUUAUAUAAAAGAGUGAAUUGGAGGACGACCAAGGGUAUUAUAGUAAUUUCACAAUAAAUUCAUCAUCCAAAAUCUCUCUCUUUUUUAAGGCCCCAUUUUCCAUUCAAUCUUUUUUUUCUUCUUUAAUAUGCACUACUUCUCACUUCUCACUUUAACCAUAUAACUCAAAAGAAAUUUUUC